CACAUGGACCACCCAAGAUUUAAACUGUUGGGACUGAAGCGCCUUUGCAGUGGGCAGCUCCAGUGAACCCACGGGUGCCCUGCUUGGCUCCCACCACACACCACCCUCAUUGUCAGACAAGAUUCCCUCACAGGGUUGACCCCAGGUUUCCUAUAGCAGAGUCCCAGACGCCUGGAUCAAGUAAUUUAAUUGUGUGCAGUGACACCAUAACAGCUUGAGUAGGUGCCUCCACGGUUGCUUUGCAUGCUGUCCCAUCACACUUCUGUGGCAGAAGACCAUGCAGGAUGGGGGCCACCUGACUGAAGUGCUACUCUCAUGAUGGACACUUUUGCUUGGCUAGCACAUAACAACAGGAGAGGAGGAGUUGGCAAGACCUCAUCUGACCCAACGUGUCCUAAGAGACAUUACAUCUGGUAUCAUUUUGGGCAAUGAUCUUCUAAGCUGUUCCCUGCUGUCAACAGAGGUUACCCACUCCCACAAGCUCCUUCUGAGUGGACCCUCUUGUACUACAAGGAAAUUUUCCUGCUGACUAAUCUGAAUUGCUUCUGCUGCUUCCUCAAGAUCCUGAAGACACAGAGAAUAUCUUAUUUCCCUUUACACAGCUCAAGACUUAUACCUACCUUCCUUAUGCCUCUUUCUAAAUUAAACAGCACCAGUUGUUG